GUAUAUUCUCCCAAAUCCUUGUGCACUGCGAGCCUGGUUGCUGGUGUGGUUGGGUGAGGAGCAGAAACAGCUUUGGCUCUGUCAGGAACCUGUUCAGGACACAGACAUGCCAAUGCUUUAAGUGUCAAGAGUACAUCAUGACUCACCAGAUCUGCAUGUUUCACGUGAACUCACUGGUUGUCCCUUGGUUUAGAUGCCUGUAAGCCACAGAAUAUUGAUACACCAUCCAGAUGGAAGAGGAAGAUGGAAGAAGACAGAUUUUUUUUUCUUUCUCCAAAGUCCAAUUUUUCAAUGGGAUUGCUGUGGUUAUUUUUCAUCUCCCUCCAUAAAGGACAGACUAAGUGAAAUAA